rnacentral:lncRNA from 1 species
GAGAGGCUAUAUGGGAUGCUGUCUCUGAGGGCUGGCCCUGGGACCACACUGCCUGAGUUUGAAUCUGGCUCCACCAUUUAUUAGUGUGUGAUUUGGGGUCACGAGUGCUUACUCACGGUGGAGGACUUGAGAGCUGGGAGGCCAGCGGGCUGGAGCUCAGUGAAGCCACAGAGCCGAGUUGCGGAUCACCAGACAUGGCAAGGAGGACCAGGGCAUCCAGGAGGACCACUGCUGGGGCUUUGCUGCGUCCUGGCAGGGGUCAUCCUUGGGGAAGUUCAGUCUGCUCAAUUCCGGGAGUUUGGGAAUGGCUUGGAGAAGACUUUGGCAUGAAAAGAGCUUUUCCUCUUAGAAAAGUUGAACCAAGUUGGUUAAUAAAGUUACCCAAUGUCGUUCCGAUCAAAAGGGUCCAAAUUAUGCCUCAGUCCUGCGGCCAUAGCUGCACUGAGGGGUGGCGUGAAACUGCUUGUGGGAGGCACGUAGAUAGGAAUCAUUACCGUUUAUUGACUGCUUGCUGAGAGCCAGGCUCUCUGCAGAACCUUUACUUCAGGAUCUUAUUUAUUAAGACGCACAAUGUUCUCCAGAGGAGACAGGUCUCUUCCUGUUUGGGAACAAUCAGGAGAGAGAAAAAUUCAACCCAGGGCAGGUCUCAGUGCCAAGAGGAGCUGUCCUAGUGAGAUGACCUCCUCUUCCACAGUGCAGGUCCCCCGGACAGGAAAGACCCUGCCCUCUCAGGCACCCCACGUCUUGGUCUCCUCCACCCACCCAGUGCCAGGGAAGCCAGUCCGUCUCCAACCCAGGCUGCCCUUGCUUUAGGAGGGAUGGCUUGCUGAGCACUGCGCUAUGAGCUUAUUGUUACAUUAACUCAUUCAUCCUCACCAUAAUCCUAUGAGGGAGGAUAGUAUUUUUGUCCCUAUUUUACAGAUGAGGACAAUGAGGCACGGAGGGGAUGAAGAAUUGCCCAGGAUCCCACAACUAGAGGCUGACAGAGACGAGUUCUACCCGUGUUCAGUCUUCGUCUCCCUGCUACAGUAUCCUGCCAAGGUUCCAACUCAAUUUACACGAUUCCACCCUUUGGCUUCACAGCUGGGUGACUGGACUCAGGCGGGGUUAAGAGGGUCUGAAGAAUUGUGGGAAGGUGUCUUAUCCUGCAAAAUUGAUCAAUAAACAGGCAAAAAGCAAUCAGGA